UACGUAGGAUCCAAGCGUUGUCCGGAUUUACUGGGCGUAAAGCGUCCGCAGGUGGCUGUGUAAGUCUGCUGUCAAAGAGCGAAGCUCAACUUCGUAAAGGCAGUGGAAACUACAUGGCUAGAGUGCGUUCGGGGCAGAGGGAAUUCCUGGUGUAGCGGUGAAAUGCGUAGAUAUCAGGAAGAACACCGGUGGCGAAAGCGCUCUGCUAGGCCGCAACUGACACUGAGGGACGAAAGCUAGGGGAGCGAAUGGG
rnacentral:rRNA from 1 species